rnacentral:tRNA from 2 species
GUUUUAAUAAUUUAAGCUAAAAUAUUAGUCUUGUAAACUAAAAAUAAGAAUUUCUUUUAAAACA